GUCUCAACACGCCGCGGCGGUACUUACCGCCGCCUGACGGGACAACCACCGCGGCGGUACGUACUGCCGCGGCAAAUAAUUUCCCCAAGAUCACAGCGCCACUCGGUGGCGGCAGGCCGGUAGCUUUUCUUAAAGUAAGUGCUCUGAAAAUGGAUCAACCUCCUGAAGACCCAGAUUUAAAUGAGUCGAAAAAGAAAGAUGAAAAGAACGCCAAAAAGAUAUUGCAGCGGUUGGGUGAGCCUAAUAGAGGUUCAAACCUCAGACAACAAUCAAAUCUUUCAUUUUUCAAGCCCAAAGCUUCUCCCUGUUCUAAAACCCACAAGCCAAACUCUAGUUCAUAAGCUGCUGGUCAUCCAGCAGCUGCACCGCUGGAAGGCUUGGACUUGUUUCAGAAUGUUACGAAUCCAACUGAAACUACUGUUGAUGUUGAUGAGAUGAGGUAAAAAAUAAUGGAAAAUGUGAUGAUUGACAUUCAAAAAGCAGCAGACAUACAAAAUGAUGCUUUUACUAAAGUGGUAGAAAAGGAAAGGGAACUCAGGAAAGAAAGACUGAAAGGCAAAGAAUGGCAGUCAAGAAAUGAAGCUCUUCAUGGAGCUUGGACAACAGAAAUACGGACUAUUUUCGUUAAUGCCCAACUCAAGAGGAGAAGUCAGUUUCAUAGUGUGUGCACUGUGUGCAAGAAAAGUGGCCGAAUCCUCGUAUGCUGUUAUGAUUGUAAGCAACAUUUAUGCUGGGAAUGUGAUUAUGCAUUCCAUUUUUUCAAUCCACUUCAUGCCAGAGUUUAUAAAACAAGUAAAAACUACUCAACUGAGCAACUAUUACCAACCGAGUUUAUGAACGAGUUUGGUCAAAAAAUUGAGAAAGACGUUCCUGUAACUUGCUUCCCUCCUUCCAGGUGUUGGAGUUGUAGCUGGACACUUGUGUAUUAAAUACCGGAACCAACGAUGUUAUACUGUUAUCACAGUUAAAAAGGAAGGUUCGAUUUAAAGUCUGCCAGUUUCAGCUGCACUUCUUGCGUGUAGGGAGGCCCUCGAUGAAGAGUACGUUUAUUCAGAAUGGCUACCAGGCAAACCAGGAAAGGAUAAGGAAGAACCUGCUAAUCUCUUUUUUGAUGAACAUCUUUUGGAUACCUGUACGAAAUUCAAAACAAUACUCCUGGAACAUCACAAGAAAUGUUUCUGAGAAGUCUUUCUCAAAUGUCUACUCAAAAUGGCCAGCCAAGUUACAUCAAUCCAAUUCUGUUUUUUAAAGCCUAUGAUGAGAAUAAUCUAAUGAAGUGCAUUCAUCUCGUUCAGUUCUUACAAUAAUAAAUCAGUGAACAAUU
rnacentral:lncRNA from 1 species